rnacentral:rRNA from 1 species
UACGUAGGGUGCUAACGUUGUUCGGAAUCACUGGGCAUAAAGAGCGCGUAGGCAGUCUGAUAAGUCAGGUGUGAAAUCCCCCGGCUCAACCGGGGAACUGCACCUGAUACUGUUGGGCUUGAGUGCAGGAGGGGAGAGCGGAAUUCCUGGUGGAGCGGUGAAAUGCGUAGAUAUCAGGAGGAACGCCGGCGGCGAAAGCGGCUCUCUGGCCUGUUACUGACGCUGAGGCGCGAAAGCUAGGGGAGCAAACGGGAUUAGAAACCCCCGUAGUCC